UGGGGAAUUUUGGACAAUGGGCGAAAGCCUGAUCCAGCAAUGCCGCGUGUGUGAAGAAGGCCUUCGGGUUGUAAAGCACUUUUGUCCGGAAAGAAAUCCUUGGCUCUAAUACAGUCGGGGGAUGACGGUACCGGAAGAAUAAGCACCGGCUAACUACGUGCCAGCAGCCGCGGUAAUACGUAGGGUGCAAGCGUUAAUCGGAAUUACUGGGCGUAAAGCGUGCGCAGGCGGUUUGCUAAGACCGAUGUGAAAUCCCCGGGCUCAACCUGGGAACUGCAUUGGUGACUGGCAGGCUAGAGUAUGGCAGAGGGGGGUAGAAUUCCACGUGUAGCAGUGAAAUGCGUAGAGAUGUGGAGGAAUACCGAUGGCGAAGGCAGCCCCCUGGGCCAAUACUGACGCUCAUGCACGAAAGCGUGGGGAGCAAACAGGAUUAAAUACCCUGGUAGUCCACGCCCUAAACGAUGUCAACUAGUUGUUGGGGAUUCAUUUUCCUUAGUAACGUAGCUAACGCGUGAAGUUGACCGCCUGGGGGAGUACGGUCGC
rnacentral:rRNA from 1 species